UGAGGCACAAGGGCUUGAACUGUUUGAUGAAGAUGAAAAUGGUGUGAAUCCAGUCUGUGGCCUUCUAUCAACGGGCGUCACUGAACCAGGGUGGUUCUGCAGGGAGCACCCCGGUGGUCAGACCUGAACCCGGUCUAACACCUGAACCACCAAACACCAUCAUCAAAUCCAGGAAAAUGACUGUUAGGAAAAAAACCUGGUUUGGUGGAGGCGGUGCGUUCAGGGCCUGUGGAAACUCCUGUAAACUCCAGUCCUAAACAUUUAAUAUGAACUCAAAUCAAACUGAGCAGUAGAGGGACUAUUUGUCUCAGCGGAGGAGUCUGACUGCACUGCGGCUACGCCUCAAACUUGUGUAGAUCUUAAUACGCUGCACAAAAUGUCCUGAAAUUAAGUUUUAAAAACAGAAGAAAAUACAGAAGAACACGGAUUGAACUGCGUAUGAAGAAGGAGAGAAGAUGAAGUGAAGGAACCAAAGGAGAACGGAACUAGGUCCAGCAGCGGAGGAAUACGGUCUGACAGCAGCUCGGCUCGGUUCGGAAGUCCGUUGGACUGUGGUGCACCGCUGUCUCCAUUUGGACUCCUCUGCAGAGCCAGGGCUUUUAUUACGCUGGGUCAGGUGUUUAGUUUGCUGAGGUGUACAGAUAGAAGAUCCUGUCCAAGGCUGGUGAGUCCAAGCCUUAGAUCCACUGUGUUGAACCCU